rnacentral:rRNA from 1 species
UACGAAGGGUGCAAGCGUUAUCCGGAUUUACUGGGUUUAAAGGGUGUGUAGGCGGGCUUUUAAGUCAGUGGUGAAAUCUCCGGGCUCAACCCGGAAACUGCCAUUGAUACUAUUAGUCUUGAAUUCUGUUGAGGUAGGCGGAAUAAGUCAUGUAGCGGUGAAAUGCUUAGAUGUGACUUAGAACACCAAUUGCGAAGGCAGCUUACUAAACAGCUAUUGACGCUGAGGCACGAAAGCGUGGGGAUCAAACAGG